rnacentral:rRNA from 1 species
UACAGAGGGGGCAAGCGUUAUUCGGAAUUAUUGGGCGUAAAGGGUGCGUAGGCGGGUCUUUAAGUCAGGGGUGAAAUCCUGGAGCUCAACUCCAGAACUGCCUUUGAUACUGAAGAUCUUGAGUCCGGGAGAGGUGAGUGGAACUGCGAGUGUAGAGGUGAAAUUCGUAGAUAUUCGCAAGAACACCAGUGGCGAAGGCGGCUCACUGGCCCGGUACUGACGCUGAGGCACGAAAGCGUGGGGAGCAAACAGG